GGGAACAGAUGCCUCGGGUUCUCAUUGUAGCGCAGAGCGAUUAUUAUGAGGAUGGUUGAGCCUCAGCAUACUAACGCUAACUACUAUCAAAGAUUAUUAUAAUAAUUGAAGACAAACACAGAACCCACCACACCAAGGCCCAUGUGCUCUGCUAACCCAACACUCUCCAGCCUCCCCCUUGGAUUGCACAACACCUGAGGUGAGGCGUCACUAAGCUGAUACGGGAACCAUCAGUGGAUGCUCCCAUCCAUGUUCUGCCAUCACUCAGGGUGGAUGAGGUUGCUAUAUAAAGCCCCCCCCUCCUCCUCAAGGCAAACAGAGAGACAGGAACUCUUGAGCGGGAGAUCGUCCUUACAGGUGACUCUCGCUCACCCCUUUGCACUGUCCUCUUUUGGGCCACAAAGGACCGUCUAAUCCGUCAUGUGGUACCAUAAUGGUGAAUGUGUGUGUGUGUGUGUGUGUGUGUGUGUGUGUGUGUGUGUGUGUGUGUGUGUGUGUGUGUGUGUGUGUGUGUUGCAAAAACAUGACCACAUGUAUAUGUGCGUCAUUUUUGCCGGGAGGGUAACGGGAAUAACGCAACAGAACACAAUAGUGAGAGCUGACAACAGGGGGGCUUCGGGUUGGAACACACACACACACACACACACACACACACACACACACACACACGUGUUCCUGGGGGCCGUAUCUGUGCUGUGAAGAGGUGCACAAAGGGCUCUAUUGAAGAGGAGGUGGUGUUGAAGAGAGGCGGCCUGGCUCUCAGACCACCAGCUGAUGACAGCGGCCGUGAUAGUGAGGCUGAACCCGGCCCCCCGCCACUCUGCCUCAGCGCUCCACCAAGAGGACAGUGAGGCUGAACCCGGCCCCCCACUCUGCCUCAGCGCUCCACCAAGAGGACAGUGAGGCUGAACCCGGCCCCCCGCCACUCUGCCUCAGCGCUCCACCAAGAGGACAGUGAGGCUGAACCCGGCCCCCCGCCACUCUGCCUCAGCGCUCCACCCAGAGGACAGUGAGGCUGAACCCGGCCCCCCGCCACUCUGCCUCAGCGCUCCACCAAGAGGACAGUGAGGCUGAACCCGGCCCCCCGCCACUCUGCCUCAGCGCUCCACCAAGAGGACAGCGCCCCUCCAGUUGUUCGAGUACUAGUUCAGCUUAUCUGUUUCUUCUUCCCAGGCCGGAAGGUUGCCGGUUCAAUCCCCAGACUCCCCCUAGUCAGGGCCGAGAGACCCCCUGACCCUUGCUUCUCCUGACCUGCCGCCUGUUGCCCGCGUGAACGUGUGCAUGAAUGGGUGAAUAAAUGUAUGAAAGUGAGGCACUGAUGUAAAGGUCUAUGAAUGGCCACGGGAUAUUAAAGCGCUAUAUAAAUGCAUUCCAUUUGACUCUGACAUUAUAAACCAGAGAGGGGGAUUCAACUGAUCCAAAACAAAAGGGCCCUUUGGUGCACGUAGAUUGUGUGAGUGGGCAACAGGUCGUUUUCAAGAUAGAGAGAGCACAAUCCGUCGUACACACCUAGCACACUCACGUUCCUGUGGACCCAGGGUGUGUGUUUGCCUUGGGGAAGUGCUGUGUGUUUUUCCGACUGUUUAUCGCUUUGUAAAGGUUCAGGGAUUUAUUACACGCAUGCUUAUGAAACGUCAAAGUCCCUCUUGUAGAAUCAUGUUUGUCCGCAUGUGUUAUCGCUCCUUGAAAGGAUUAGAUUUCUGUAGAAAUGCGGUUUGUUUUGUUUGGUACCGAUUAUAAUUCUUCAUAUCUAGACGGAUUGUAAAUGAUUAUUAUUG
ensembl:lncRNA